rnacentral:rRNA from 1 species
UAGGGAAUCUUCCGCAAUGGACGAAAGUCUGACGGAGCAACGCCGCGUGAGUGAAGAAGGAUUUCGGUUCGUAAAACUCUGUUGUUAGGGAAGAAAAAAUGUAUAGUAACUAUAUACAAAAGAGACGGUACCUAACCAGAAAGCCACGGCUAACUACGUGCCAGCAGCCGCGGUAAUACGUAGGUGGCAAGCGUUGUCCGGAAUUAUUGGGCGUAAAGCGCGCGCAGGUGGUUUAGAAAGUCUGAUGUGAAAGCCCACGGCUCAACCGUGGAGGGUCAUUGGAAACUAAUAAACUUGAGUGCAGGAGAGAAAAGUGGAAUUCCUAGUGUAGCGGUGAAAUGCGUAGAGAUUAGGAGGAACACCGGUGGCGAAGGCGGCUUUUUGGCAUGCAACUGACACUGAGGAGCGAAAGCGUGGGGAGCAAACAGG